GAUGAACGCUGGCGGUAUGCCUAACACAUGCAAGUCGUACGAGAGUUUUUAACUCUAGUGGCGGACGGGUGAGUAACACGUGAGAAUUUGCCUUUAGGAGGGGGAUAACAAUUGGAAACGAAUGCUAAUACCCCAUAUGCUUUUGAGUGAAAUGGAUUUUAUCCGCCUAGAGAGAAGCUCGCGGCUGAUUAGCUUGUUGGUAAGGUAAGAGCUUACCAAGGCGACGAUCAGUAUCUGGUUUGAGAGGACGAUCAGACACACUGGAACUGAGACACGGUCCAGACUCCUACGGGAGGCAGCAGUGGGGAAUUUUCCGCAAUGGGCGAAAGCCUGACGGAGCAAUACCGCGUGAGGGAAGAAUGCCUAUGGGUUGUAAACCUCUUUUUCAGGGAGGAAUCAAAUGACGUGUACCUGAAGAAUAAGCAUCGGCUAACUCCGUG
rnacentral:rRNA from 1 species